UACUUCCGUAACCGUUUGACUGUUGUUUAUUGAGGUAAUUUGAGUUAACAUUUUGGCAUUUGUUUACUUAAAAUUAUGGUUAGACUGCUUUUAUUUGAAAUUUUUGAUGGAAAAAGAAAAGUAUUACAUUUCGUUGCUAAGUAUCGUUCUUGAAUUCCAUCCCUUCAUUUAAAGGGACAAGUAAUUUCAACGGAACGUAUUUAUAGCACGACUAUUAACUUUAUAGGUUAUCCCUGUUCAACUGCUACUGAGCCCCAAUUUAAGUACCACAAGGGCAAUUGGAACAUCUACUAUAAAUAUUGUUGCUUUGAAGCAUAUGUAUCAAGGUAAUAUAAUGAAUGCUACUCGAGUCCUGAUAUAAAUUACCACAAGAAGGGUGAUUAUUGAAUUUUAUUGGAAAAUUUUGAAGUUAUAAAAACGUUAAGUACAAUCAGCUGAUUCUUGGCAAAGACAAAAAAACUACAAAACCUACAACUUGGGGGUUGCUUUAAGAGGUUGCUCAUUUUAAAAGAAUUACGACAUUGGGUGGGAUUGGAUUUGAUUCACGAACAGAAUAAUUUUGGUAUUGUGAGGCAAUUUCUAUCUAUUUUUCGAUGAUUACUGGUUUAGCAAUACUUGCAAAGUUUACGUAUUUAUUUAUAUAUUUAUGGUCCAUUUGUUAAUCUUGUUUUUAAAUGUCAGCACUUUAUACUUGGAUUACCAUGAAAUUAUUUUGAUUUAGAAAAUUGAAAAGCUAUAAUAGAAUACUGUGAUGAAAAUAAAUUUUAAUUUUUCUAUUACUAGCAAUUUCUACACUGCUAAUUGAUGCUGAAUACUAACUACAGUAUAUAAAUUGAGCAAUAACAACUGAUAGUGAAUAUAGUUGAAAUGAAAAUAUACUGACAGUAUGAGUUUCUUACUAUUUCCAAUAGGAAAUUCAUAUCAAGAUAUACAAAUAUCCAAUAGAUUUGCAUUUUUUGACCAAGUAAAUGAUUGCUAUACUGAAGUUCAAAAUGGUCAUGGACUUAUAAGACAAAUUUUGGAUAAUAAUUAAUUUAAUGAUAUAAAUCCAUAAAAUUUAUGAAAACCUAAUCAAGAAGUAUUUGUAAUUUUAUGAUGCUUU